AUGGGCGAAGCUGAUGGAUCAUGCCGCGUGGAGGAAGAAGGCCCGUGGGUCGUAAACUCCUUUUCUCAGAGAAGAAGUUCUGACGGUAUCUGAGGAAUAAGCUCCGGCUAACUCUGUGCCAGCAGCCGCGGUAAUACAGAGGGAGCAAGCGUUAUCCGGAAUGAUUGGGCGUAAAGCGUCUGUAGGUGGUUCUUUAAGUCUACUGUCAAAUACGUUGGCUCAACCAACGGCAGGCAGUGGAGUACUAAAGGACUAGAGUUCGGUAGAGGUAGAGGGAAUCCCUAGCGUAACAGUGAGAUGUGUAGAUUUUAGGGAGAACACCAGUGGCGAAGGCGCUCUACUGGGCCGAGACUGACACUGAGAGACGAAAGCUAGAGGAGCGAAUAGGAUUAGAUACCCUACUAGUUCUAGCUGUAAACGAUGGAAACUAAGUGGCGGCUUUGUCGCUGCUGUAGCUAACGCGUUAAGUUUCCCGCCUGGGGAGUAUGCUCGCAAGAGUGAAACUCAAAGGAAUUGACGGGGACCUGCACAAGAGGUGGAUUAUGUGGUUUAAUUCGAUGCAACGCGAAGAACCUUACCAGGGUUUGACAUGUCCAGAAUACUUCAGAAAUGGAAUAGUGCCAGAAAUGGCACUGGAACACAGGUGGUGCCUGGCUGUCGUCAG
rnacentral:rRNA from 1 species